rnacentral:rRNA from 1 species
CCUACGGGUGGCAGCAGUGAGGAAUAUUGGUCAAUGGACGAGAGUCUGAACCAGCCAAGUAGCGUGAAGGAUGACUGCCCUAUGGGUUGUAAACUUCUUUUAUAUGGGAAUAAAACGUUCCACGUGUGGGAUUUUGUAUGUACCAUAUGAAUAAGGAUCGGCUAACUCCGUGCCAGCAGCCGCGGUAAUACGGAGGAUCCGAGCGUUAUCCGGAUUUAUUGGGUUUAAGGGGAGCGUAGGGGGAUUGUUAAGUCAGUUGUGAAAGUUUGCGGCUCAACCGUAAAAUUGCAGUUGAAACGGGCAGUCUGGAGUACAGUAGAGGUGGGCGGAAUUCGUGGUGUAGCGGGGAAAUGCUUAGAUAUCACGAAGAACUCCGAUUGCGAAGGCAGUUCACUGGACUGCAACUGACACUGAGGCUCGAAAGUGUGGGUAUCAAACAGGAUUAGGUACCCUAGUAGUC